CUUAGUUAAGAAUGUGGAAAACGUGGACGAGCUAGCAUGAUGUUUAGCGAGUAUAGUUUAGCGAGCUUUCUCUUUUUAACUAUAUGCGAUAUUCUGCGGAUGCAUAUGGAAAGCCGGUUCUACAUUAGUUAGUAAGCCGGUCGCGAGUUUGUUGCAACGGUCAAUAUAAAACAUUGAAAUACAUCAUAAAUCAAUGAUGCGGAUCCCACAUAAUUGAUAUAAUUUUUAUAAAAAUAGAAGAAAUUGUUUGAAUGUUUUUUUGGAAUAAACGGGGAGUAAAAAGAAAAAGAAAACAAUCAUAAUGAAAACAAAGAAAUGGGAGGAGUUAGAUGUGCGACUAAGUGAUUCUGUAUUGAAAACACUCAGACAGUUGGGAUUUUUCAAUAUGACGCCCGUUCAGAUAGCUUGUAUACCUUUAUUAUUAAAUGGUAAAGAUGUUGCGGCAGAAGCAGUUACAGGCAGUGGCAAGACACUCGCUUUUCUUAUUCCUCUAUUGGAAAUAUUACAAAAACGAAAUGAAAAAUGGAAGACUAUGGAAGUGGGAGCGAUAAUAGUCAGUCCUACAAGAGAAUUGGCUAUACAAAUUAGUGAAAUUCUAGAAGAGUUCUUAAAAAGAAUUCCAUUGUUAAAGCAAGUAUUAUUGGUUGGUGGUGUGACACUUCAGAAAGAUGUAGAAAAAUUAAAGAAAGGAGCAAAUAUUAUUGUUGCCACACCUGGUAGAUUGAAAGAUAUCCUGUCUAAUUACAUUAAUUUGGGCCUGUAUAUAAAAUCUUUGGAAUUUCUUGUAUUAGAUGAGGCAGAUAGAUUAUUAGACUUGGGAUUUUCGGCGACUUUAGAUAGUAUUUUAAGCUAUUUACCACGUCUUAGAAGAACAGGAUUAUUCUCUGCAACCCAAACGAAAGAACUGGAGCAAUUGAUCAGAGCGGGACUGAGAAAUCCAGCAUUAAUUGUUGUGAAAGAAAAGUCUAACGUUUCCACGCCUGAUUUAAAACAAAGUAUAUGAUAUUUUUACCUACCUGCGCGUGUGUGGAUUAUUUCACUCGGGUUAUACAGACAUUAUUACCAUCGAUAAACGUACUUGCCUUACACGGUAAAAUGAAAAGUAAGAGAUAUAAAGUGUUUGAUAAAUUU